UACAGCCAUAUGGAGUUGAAACACUGGUUCCAGUACAAUCACUGAAGUUAAGCAAUGUCGAGGCUGUUCAGUAUUUAGAUGGGUGUCUGCUUGGGAAUAUUAUGUGCUGUAAU